rnacentral:rRNA from 1 species
AGGUUUCCGUAGGUGAACCUGCGGAAGGAUCAUUAUCGUAUGACGAGAGGCGCCAGGGCUGUCGCUGACCUCCCAUUUCGAGGUCGUGCACGCCCCGAGCGUCCUCACACAUCCACCACACAACCCCCCUUUGUGCAUCACCGCGUGGGUUCCUUUGGGUCGGUUCGAUCCAAGUGGGGCUUGCGCUUUUUACACAAACACAGUGUAGAAUGUCCCACCUUACUUUGCGGUUGUACGCAAUCAAUACAACUUUCAACAACGGAUCUCUUGGCUCUCGCAUCGAUGAAGAACGCAGCGAAAUGCGAUACGUAAUGUGAAUUGCAGAAUUCAGUGAAUCAUCGAAUCUUUGAACGCACCUUGCGCCCCUUGGCAUUCCGAGGGGCACACCCGUUUGAGUGUCGUGAAUUCCUCAACCUUCUGCAUUUCUUUAAUAGCAGAAGGCUUGGACUUUGGAGGUUCCUGCUGGCCUCUUCGGAAGCCAGCUCCUCUUAAAUGGAUUAGCAGGGUCUGCCUUUGGCCGAUCCUCGACGUGAUAAGCUGCUUCUACGUCGUGGAUUUGGCUCUGCCUCUUUUGAGACCUGCUUCUAAUCGUCUCGUUGAGACGGCCGUCAGAGUCACCCUUUCUUCCUUCACGGGAAAGAGGAGGUGAACCUUUUGACCCACGAACCCUUUGACCUCAAAUCGGGUGAGACUACCCGCUGAACUUAAGCNNNNNNNNNAGCGGAGGAAAAGAAACUAACGAGGAUUCCCCUAGUAACUGCGAGUGAAGCGGGAAAAGCUCAAAUUUAAAAUCUGGCGGUCUUUGGCCGUCCGAGUUGUAAUUUAGAGAAGCGUCUUCCGCGCCGGACCGUGCACAAGUCUCCUGGAAUGGAGCGUCAUAGAGGGUGAGAAUCCCGUCUUUGGCAUGGAGCCCCCGGUGCUUCUGUGAUGCGCUCUCGAAGAGUCGAGUUGUUUGGGAAUGCAGCUCAAAAUGGGUGGUGAACUCCAUCUAAAGCUAAAUAUUGGCGAGAGACCGAUAGCGAACAAGUACCGUGAGGGAAAGAUGAAAAGCACUUUGGAAAGAGAGUGAAACAGUACGUGAAAUUGUUGAAAGGGAAACGCUUGGAGUCAGUCGCGUUGGCCGAGACUCAGCCUUGCCCUCGGCUUGGCGUACUUCUCAGCUAACGGGCCAGCAUCGAUUUCGCCCCUCAGAAUAAUGGCAAGGGAAAGGUGGCACCUUUGCGGGUGUGUUAUAGUCUCCUGUCGCAUGUGAGGGGUGGGAUCGAGGAACUCAGCACGCGCCUCUCGGCGUCGGGGCUUCGGCCCACGUUACGUGCUUAGGAUGUUGGCGUAAUGGCUCUAAACGACCCGUCUUGAAACACGGACCAAGGAGUCUAACAUGCCCGCGAGUGUUCGGGUGGAAAACCCGUGCGCGAAAUGAAAGUGAAAGUUGGGACCUCCGUCGUGGAGGGCACCGACGCCCGGACCAGACCUUCUGUGACGGAUCUGCGGUAGAGCGUGCAUGUUGGGACCCGAAAGAUGGUGAACUAUGCCUGAAUAGGGUGAAGCCAGAGGAAACUCUGGUGGAGGCUCGUAGCGAUUCUGACGUGCAAAUCGAUCGUCAAAUUUGGGUAUAGGGGCGAAAGACUAAUCGAACCAUCUAGUAGCUG